CCGGUAAACGGCGGCCGUAACUAUAACGGUCCUAAGGUAGCGAAAUUCCUUGUCGGGUAAGUUCCGACCUGCACGAAUGGCGUAAUGAUGGCCAGGCUGUCUCCACCCGAGACUCAGUGAAAUUGAACUCGCUGUGAAGAUGCAGUGUACCCGCGGCAAGACGGAAAGACCCCGUGAACCUUUACUAUAGCUUGACACUGAACAUUGAGCCUUGAUGUGUAGGAUAGGUGGGAGGCUUUGAAGUGUGGACGCCAGUCUGCAUGGAGCCGACCUUGAAAUACCACCCUUUAAUGUUUGAUGUUCUAACGUUGGCCCCUGAUCGGGGUUGCGGACAGUGUCUGGUGGGUAGUUUGACUGGGGCGGUCUCCUCCUAAAGAGUAACGGAGGAGCACGAAGGUUGGCUAAUCCUGGUCGGACAUCAGGAGGUUAGUGCAAUGGCAUAAGCCAGCUUGACUGCGAGCGUGACGGCGCGAGCAGGUGCGAAAGCAGGUCAUAGUGAUCCGGUGGUUCUGAAUGGAAGGGCCAUCGCUCAACGGAUAAAAGGUACUCCGGGGAUAACAGGCUGAUACCGCCCAAGAGUUCAUAUCGACGGCGGUGUUUGGCACCUCGAUGUCGGCUCAUCACAUCCUGGGGCUGAAGUAGGUCCCAAGGGUAUGGCUGUUCGCCAUUUAAAGUGGUACGCGAGCUGGGUUUAGAACGUCGUGAGACAGUUCGGUCCCUAUCUGCCGUGGGCGCUGGAGAACUGAGGGGGGCUGCUCCUAGUACGAGAGGACCGGAGUGGACGCAUCACUGGUGUUCGGGUUGUCAUGCCAAUGGCACU
rnacentral:rRNA from 1 species